rnacentral:tRNA from 1 species
GGCCGUUUGGUCUAGUGGUAUGAUUCUUCUUUAGGGUAGAAGAGGUCCUGGGUUCGAUUCCCAGAACGGCCC